AUGGGAGGGACUGCCAUAUGAAUUUGCCUGCAACAAUUGAAAGGCUUACUUGGUUUAAAACAUUUCACCACUGAUACCGACGUCGUUUCGGUUAUAAAAGCAGUUUUCCGGUACAAAGACGAGUGCAAGUGACAAAGUGUUGUUGCUGGCUUAGUCUUCCUUUGUUUCCUGCACACGGCUCGAUAUGUGAAGCAAAGAAAACCAAAGCUGUUCUGGGUAUCAGCUAUGUCUCCUAUGGCAGUUGUUGUGGCUGGUUGCCUUUAUGCAUAUUUCGGAAAGGCUGAGCAACAUGGAAUAGCAAUCGUGGGUGACUUGAAGAAGGGAUUGAAUCCUAUAUCAAUU